rnacentral:snRNA from 1 species
GUGCUUGUGGCAGCACAUAUACUAAAACUGGAAUGAUACAGAGAAGGUUAACAUGUGCAGGAGGAUGAUGCACAAAUUCAUGAAGAAUUCCAUAUAUAU